AAGCCGACGCGUUAGAUGAUUCAUUUAGACAAGAUCCCGAAAAGGUGGCAUCCAGUCCGGAUACGAGAACUGCUGACGCCGACUUUGCUUUUCAACUAGGUGCCCGCCGCAUUGAACGACAAUGCUCGGACUUGAAACAGCAAUUGGAUGCAGACUUGGUUAGGUUGCACGAAGAUGGCAUUGAAUGUCUAAAAUGAAUUUAUUUUUACCUUAUUGAAUAUUUAUGUGGUCAUAUAUUUUACAUGUAGGUAUAUUUUAAGUAAUGUUUUGGACCUAUUGAUAUUCGUCUGCAUGGUAUUAAUAUAAACAUAUUAACAGAAAUCCCAAACGUGAAGAGUAUACCAUUCGUUCAAAACGGGAAGUGUUUAAAGAUUGCUAUGCUAAUACUGAAUUGUCAUCUCUUUGUAUGACCCUGCAUUGCGAAACAAUAUCUUGGUCAUAAAAAAGCCGUAAUUCCACGUUUUUGCGAACACAUGCAGUACAGUGAUGAUUGUGUUUUCAUUUGUUGCUAUUUUUGCAAUCGAGUGUCUUAUAAUUAACUAUUUGAUUAAUUAAAACAAAACAUGCAAAAUAUAUGGGAUUAAUAAAUACUAUGGCCUUUUUCAAUACAAAA